UACGGGGGGAGCAAGCGUUGUUCGGAUUUACUGGGCGUAAAGGGCGCGUAGGCGGCCACUGCAAGUCGGUUGUGAAAUCUCCGGGCUUAACCCGGAAAGGUCAAUCGAUACUGCAGGGCUAGAGUGCAGAAGGGGCAACUGGAAUUCUCGGUGUAGCGGUGAAAUGCGUAGAUAUCGAGAGGAACACCUGCGGCGAAGGCGGGUUGCUGGGCUGACACUGACGCUGAAGCGCGAAAGCUAGGGGAGCGAACAGG
rnacentral:rRNA from 1 species